GAAUCCAUUGCUUAGUUGGUAGAGCACAAAGCUCUUAACCUUGUGGACGUGGGUUCA
rfam:Triticum aestivum genome assembly, contig: Triticum_aestivum_CS42_TGACv1_scaffold_569476_7AS